rnacentral:rRNA from 1 species
AGUGAACGCUGGCGGCAGGCCUAAUACAUGCAAGUCGAACGGCAGCACAGCAGAGCUUGCUCUGUGGGUGGCGAGUGGCGGACGGGUGAGGAAUACAUGGGAAUCUGCCCAGUCGUGGGGGAUAACGUAUGGAAACGUACGCUAAUACCGCAUGCGCCCUACGGGGGAAAGCCGGGGACCGCAAGGCCUGGCGCGAUUGGAUGAGCCCAUGUUCGAUUAGCUAGUUGGCGGGGUAAAGGCCCACCAAGGCGACGAUCGAUAGCUGGUCUGAGAGGAUGAUCAGCCACACUGGAACUGAGACACGGUCCAGACUCCUACGGGAGGCAGCAGUAGGGAAUAUUGGACAAUGGGGGCGAACCCUGAUCCAGCCAUGCCGCGUGAGUGAAGAAGGACCCUCGGGUUGUAAAGCUCUUUUGUCCGGAAAGAAAAGCAAUCGGUUAAUACCCGGUUGUUCUGACGGUACCGGAAGAAUAAGCACCGGCUAACUUCGUGCCAGCAGCCG